CACUGCAGCUUCAACCUUCCAGACUCAAAUGAUCCUCCUACCUCAGCCUCUCAAGUAGCUAUGACCACAGAUGCAUGUCACCAUGCCAUGGUAAUUUUUUUAAAAAAUUUUUUUGUAGAGACAGGGUAUCACCAUGUUGCCCAGGCUGGUGUUGAACUUCUGGGCUCAAGUGAUCCAUCCACCUCAGCCUCCCAAAGUUCUGGGUUUACAGGAAUGAGCCACUGCUGUAUUACUUGGAGAAUAUCUGGAUCCACAGCUUCCUUUUGAAAGUACAAAGUGUCUGGCUGGCAGACUUUUCUUCCAUAGCCAGAUUUUCAAUGGAAAUUUACUGGAGUUAGGAUCAAGAGGUCUCCUGGGUACAAGGUACUCUGAAAAGCAUCAAGUAUAACUUUUAAUCCCUUCGGGAGAAAGGCACUGGAUUUCAAGGGCUUGACCAUGUCUGAACAGAUGGGACAGUUUGAAUGAGAACAGCAUGCAUCUCCAGAGGUUCUCUGCAUUUGGGUGGCAGCUUUACAUACCAUCAGGACGUUUGCCUCCAUUUAGCUUGGAAGCACAGGAGACCUACUGAAGAGUAGUCACUCACUCUGCAAGGCUUGAAGGAUUAUUCAGCCCUCUGAAAAUAAUUCCACUACGAUGUAACACUUUUUUAAAUCACUGCCAAAUGUAUUUAAAAAUAAGUAAUGUUGCCAAUAGCUGAAGCCUUCAAAUAUAGAAAUGUUCAUAACAUCUGAUACGGUUUGGCUGUGUCUUCAUCCAAAUCUCAUCGUGAGUUGUAGUUCCCAUAAUCCCCACCUGUGGUGGGAGGGACCCAGUGGGAGGUAACUGAAUCAUGGGGACAGUUUUCUUCAUGCUACUAUUGUGAUAGUAAGUUCUCAUGAGAUCUGAUGGUUUUAUAAGGGGCUUCCCUCUUCACUCAGCCUAAUUCUUCUCUUUGCUGCUGCCAUGUGAAGAAGGACAUGUUCGCUUUCCCUUCCGCCAUGAUUGUAAGUUUCCUGAAACCUCCCCAGCCAUGCUGAACUGUGAGACAAUUAAACCCCUUUCCUUUUCAAAUUACCCAGUCUCAGGUAUGUUUUUAUUAGCAGCAUGAGAGUGGACUAACCCAACACCUUACAUUUUAACGACAUAUUAUUUUGUUUCCACUAUGCUCUAUUUAUUGUGAGUCUACUAAGGGCUAGAUUCUGUGAUUAAAUAGAGACCAAAACACUGUGGGCACUGGGGGAAAGCAGCAUUAAUUAACUAUUAGGCAAGUGGUGAAACUGCAAAAGUAAUAAAAGCUGCAAAGGAGAGAUAGUUACUUGAAGUUCUGAGUCCCUUCUAUAAGGGAGCUUGACCUGGUCAAGGAGGUCUUGAAAUUAGAGUGGGUUGAUCUGAAGGAUAAGUAGGAGUUGACAAGACAAUGAGGGGUAAGAAGAGCAUUCCCAGAAGAGGAAACAGCAUGUGCAAGGGCCCUAUCAUGUGAGGGAGUAUGCUGAGCACAAAGAAUGGGACACAGUUUGUGAAAAGGCCACCAUGCCUAGAAAACAAGAGUGAGCAGGGUGAAGGAUGAGACCAAAGAGAAGACAGACACCAGGUCUUGCAGGUCAUGUUAAG